rnacentral:rRNA from 1 species
GACGAACGCUCCCUGCGUGCUUAACACAUGCAAGUCGAACGGAAAGGCCCUGCUUUUGUGGGGUGCUCGAGUGGCGAACGGGUGAGUAACACGUGAGUAACCUGCCCUUGACUUUGGGAUAACUUCAGGAAACUGGGGCUAAUACCGGAUAGGAGCUCCUGCCGCAUGGUGGGGGUUGGAAAGUUUCGGCGGUUGGGGAUGGACUCGCGGCUUAUCAGCUUGUUGGUGGGGUAGUGGCUUACCAAGGCUUUGACGGGUAGCCGGCCUGAGAGGGUGACCGGCCACAUUGGGACUGAGAUACGGCCCAGACUCCUACGGGAGGCAGCAGUGGGGAAUAUUGCACAAUGGGCGGAAGCCUGAUGCAGCAACGCCGCGUGCGGGAUGACGGCCUUCGGGUUGUAAACCGCUUUCGCCUGUGACGAAGCGUGAGUGACGGUAAUGGGUAAAGAAGCACCGGCUAACUACGUGCCAGCAGCCGCGGUGAUACGUAGGGUGCGAGCGUUGUCCGGAUUUAUUGGGCGUAAAGGGCUCGUAGGUGGUUGAUCGCGUCGGAAGUGUAAUCUUGGGGCUUAACCCUGAGCGUGCUUUCGAUACGGGUUGACUUGAGGAAGGUAGGGGAGAAUGGAAUUCCUGGUGGAGCGGUGGAAUGCGCAGAUAUCAGGAGGAACACCAGUGGCGAAGGCGGUUCUCUGGGCCUUUCCUGACGCUGAGGAGCGAAAGCGUGGGGAGCGAACAGGCUUAGAUACCCUGGUAGUCCACGCUGUAAACGGUGGGUACUAGGUGUGGGGUCCAUUCCACGGGUUCCGUGCCGUAGCUAACGCUUUAAGUACCCCGCCUGGGGAGUACGGCCGCAAGGCUAAAACUCAAAGGAAUUGACGGGGCCCCGCACAAGCGGCGGAGCAUGCGGAUUAAUUCGAUGCAACGCGUAGAACCUUACCUGGGUUUGACAUGGAUCGGGAGUGCUCAGAGAUGGGUGUGCCUCUUUUGGGGUCGGUUCACAGGUGGUGCAUGGCUGUCGUCAGCUCGUGUCGUGAGAUGUUGGGUUAAGUCCCGCAACGAGCGCAACCCUUGUUCACUGUUGCCAGCACGUUAUGGUGGGGACUCAGUGGAGACCGCCGGGGUCAACUCGGAGGAAGGUGGGGAUGACGUCAAGUCAUCAUGCCCCUUAUGUCCAGGGCUUCACGCAUGCUACAAUGGCUGGUACAGAGAGUGGCGAGCCUGUGAGGGUGAGCGAAUCUCGGAAAGCCGGUCUCAGUUCGGAUUGGGGUCUGCAACUCGACCUCAUGAAGUCGGAGUCGCUAGUAAUCGCAGAUCAGCAACGCUGCGGUGAAUACGUUCCCGGG